rnacentral:rRNA from 1 species
GAUGAACGCUGGCGGCGUGCUUAACACAUGCAAGUCGAACGGUGAAGCUCCAGCUUGCUGGAGUGGAUCAGUGGCGAACGGGUGAGUAACACGUGAGCAACCUGCCCCUGACUCUGGGAUAACAGCCGGAAACGGCUGCUAAUACCGGAUAUGCACCAUGAACGCAUGUUCUGUGGUGGGAAAGAUUUUUCGGUUGGGGAUGGGCUCGCGGCCUAUCAGCUUGUUGGUGAGGUAAUGGCUCACCAAGGCGUCGACGGGUAGCCAGCCUGAGAGGGUGACCGGCCACACUGGGACUGAGACACGGCCCAGACUCCUACGGGAGGCAGCAGUGGGGAAUAUUGCACAAUGGGCGAAAGCCUGAUGCAGCAACGCCGCGUGAGGGAUGACGGCCUUCGGGUUGUAAACCUCUUUUAGCAGGGAAGAAGCGAGAGUGACGGUACCUGCAGAAAAAGCGCCGGCUAACUACGUG